ACAGUAAAAAGAACCUAUCAAAUGUCAGCUGCUGAAUUUUUACAUAGAUGAACACUGCUGACAUUCGGACUGGAUAAUUUACUGUGGGAGUUGCUCUGUGCAAUGUAGGAUGUCUGGCCUCUACUCUCUAGGUGCCAGUAGCAUGCCCACCCAGUUAUGACAACCAAAGAUACCUCCAGAUGUUGACAAAUUUCCAGUGGGGCAAAAUCACCCCAAGUUGAGAAGCACUCGUCUACACACCCAUGUAACCACCAUCCUCAGUUUGCCAGAUUUAGCAAAUACAGAUACAAGAGACCCAAUUAAAUUUGAAUUUCAGGUAAACAAUAAUUUUUAAAAAUUUGCCUUCGAUUUUAUCUGGCAAGUCUUCACCACCGAGGUCAGGGUAUGCAAACGCUUCCGGAACCACGGGAGACUCCUUUGCGCCCGGUCUCCGUCGAUAUCCCCGAGGCAACCACCGUUUUGGAUGAAGUCGGUUUUUCCGUUCUCGCGAGAUCUGCCGUAGCAGUUAACGACACGUUCCUCCUUUGUGCAGUUUCCCUCUCUCCUCUGAGUGGUCUGAAAGCUUCUCUCAGCUCACCUGAAGAAUCUCCUGGAACCCAGCCCUCGUACCUUUUCAGUUUACCUCCGGGUCCUCGCUGUCUGUGACCUGUAGCAGCCUGUUCUGCUUUGUGCCUUGCACGUCCUCUGCGCGGGGGGGAGCACGUCUGAGGACGGAUCCUCCGGCAGACAGCUUUCCGCAUUCCUGUCGCCUCUCACGUCGUGCCUGCUGCACAUUUUCUGCAUUCUGUGUCCGCACAAGACCGAGGACUAGGCUCACAGAGACACACCUUUGUGCGCAGAGUGUUUGAGUGUUGUGGCUCUGCAGGGAGAAAACGGUCCAGUUGGCUUGUUUUUGAAAGCACCUUUUCCUGAAGGGCACAGGGUAAUGUGAGAUGCUGCACUUGUCCGGUGUUUCCUGUUCGCACCUGUUCAGCACUGUCUGUGAAUUCAACAUAGAAAGAAGGCCAUGUGAAUCUCACUG